AGGAUUAAAACAUGGUAUCUGCACUCAGCCGUUUACUCCGGCUGGGGUGUUCAAAGGUCAGUGCCAUAGAAAUUCAGUAUCUGGCAUCGUUGGUUUUCUCGGCUUUGUGCUUGUUAAACCUGGUAUUCCUGUUGAUACAAUA
ensembl:snoRNA